UACGAAGGGGGCUAGCGUUGCUCGGAAUCACUGGGCGUAAAGCGCACGUAGGCGGAUUGUUAAGUCAGGGGUGAAAUCCUGGAGCUCAACUCCAGAACUGCCUUUGAUACUGGCGAUCUCGAGUCCGGGAGAGGUGAGUGGAACUGCGAGUGUAGAGGUGAAAUUCGUAGAUAUUCGCAAGAACACCAGUGGCGAAGGCGGCUCACUGGCCCGGUACUGACGCUGAGGCACGAAAGCGUGGGGAGCAAAAGGG
rnacentral:rRNA from 1 species